GGAUUCAAUGAUCUCUUCCUUCUGGUUUUUGCUUGGUUGUCUGGCCUCCGUCUUCUUAUCGCCUUCUGCAAGAUAAAAGAUUAAUCUGUGGCUGAGGUACAGCAGGAAACGAAGCGAACUCGCAUACUCGUCAUGAACUCUAGGCUCACCUGACUCCAGAUUACUGCCCUUGGUCUGUCCACCGGAAAGAGCGUCGUCUCUUGUCGAUGAUGAAGUCUGAUUCGUUCUGGUAGCGCCAUCGUUGCUUGGGUUGCUUCCCUCUGCGCCACGUCCUCGACCUGCAUCUUCUCUAAUUUAGCAACACAACACGUCUAAUCCAAAACUCCCAAUUUUCAGAAGCUCUCUGCAAGUUUAGGGACUCUCCUACCUGAUCUCUGUGAAUAGUUGCUGCUCUCUGCCACCGGAGACGCAUUAACCACGUAAGGCAGAUUAGAUAGCUGCUGUUUGGCUGCAGAACAAUAAGAAUCAACAAGACUUCUACA